UAGCUGGAUCAAAGGAGAGAUGGUGUAUAGCGAUCCCUCAGGAAAGGACGGACGGACUAGGGUUCCACUCACUUAGUAAUUGCACAUAUCACUUCUUUUUUUUUUUUCAUAUUACUUCUUUUG